rnacentral:lncRNA from 1 species
UGAAAAAUCCGUUUUCCGUUUGACUUCAGAGAGGAUCGCUGUUCCGGUGUAACGAGCGAAGCGAUCUUGGCUCCUGCAUGUUGUUUCGGUUUCUUCUUUUCCUACGCAUCGUCGUCCGUGUGUGUCACGGCGUAGGUUACCCACCUCUUGUGUCACUUUAGGAUUAAGCCAUUUGCGGAGUUUGUGGGGACGAUGACGACUUCUUUGGGGCAGCGCGUUGCAACUGCAGGGUUCGGUUCACUCGGUAUUGCCCAAUACCAGGGUGUAUCGUCAUGGUGCGAUGUCCUCGUAGUAAGGAAUGAAAAGUGCGCUUUUUCGAUGACAGGAUGGUAGAGCCAUACACCGUAAUGCUGCAAAUCGAUCCUUCACUAAGAAGGCAUACACACAAAAGUUGAUUUGAGCACCAUCAUGUUCUUCCUGCUCCGGACAAUCUCUGCAUCUAUGCAAGCCUUGAGACGAGUAGGGAAGGGCUGAAAAUAUCCGGCCUGUAGGUGUGCUGGGUUAAACCACAAACAAACCAACGCCGAGAUCGAGGAGAGAGGCGCCUCAGAAGAGCAGCCUCUAGGUUCGUGUGCGGCCCAACCGCCAGGUGACUUCCACCUUACCGCCCACACAAUAUUCCUGGGUUUAUACAAACUACCUUUUUAUGGGGAGUAUAUACUACGAGUUGGACUACUGGUUUAGAUCUUGAAUGUCUUUGUUUGAUGAAUGCUAAAUCUGGAGUUUAUCUCCGAUUAUCCACACUGCUUCGACAAAACGUGGAUAUAAUAGUUUUCUCUCGCUGUUAAUACGAGUGAUAACAGUAAUCCAUAUAUUUGCAUGCUACAACUGCCUCUUUCGUAUUCUUGUGUAUUUUAAUUCACAUGACUCGAGGACUGUAUAUCCAGUGCUCUGCCUUGGGCAUUGAAACUGACGUACUUUCUAUCUCUAAAUUAUAUAACGG